rnacentral:rRNA from 1 species
UCCGUAGGGUGCAAGCGUUGUCCGGAAUUAUUGGGCGUAAAGAGCUCGUAGGCGGUCUGUCGCGUCUGCUGUGAAAACUCGGGGCUUAACCCCGGGCCUGCAGUGGGUACGGGCAGACUAGAGUGCGGUAGGGGAGACUGGAAUUCCUGGUAUAGCGGUGAAAUGCGCAGAUAUCAGGAGGAACACCGAUGGCGAAGGCAGGUCUCUGGGCCACUACUGAUGCUGAGAAGCGAAAGCAUGGGGAGCGAACAGG